rnacentral:rRNA from 1 species
GUGGGGAAUAUUCCGCAAUGGACGAAAGUCUGACGGAGCAACGCCGCGUGAGUGAUGAAGGUUUUCGGACUGUAAAGCUCUGUUGUUUAGGACGAAAGUGCCUGUUGCAAAUAGUUACAGGUAUUGACGGUACUGAACGAGGAAGCCACGGCUAACUACGUGCCAGCAGCCGCGGUAAUACGUAGGUGGCAAGCGUUGUCCGGAAUUAUUGGGCGUAAAGAGCAUGUAGGCGGGAAUCUAAGUCUGUUGUGAAAAUGCGGGGCUCAACCCCGUAUUGCGAUGGAAACUGGGUUUCUUGAGUGCAGGAGAGGAAAGGGGAAUUCCCAGGGUAGCGGUGAAAUGCGUAGAUAUUGGGAGGAACACCAGUGGCGAAGGCGCCUUUCUGGACUGUGUCUGACGCUGAGAUGCGAAAGCCAGGGUAGCGAACGGGAUUAGAAACCCGUGUAGUCC